AUUGAACGCUGGCGGCAUGCCUUGCACAUGCAAGUCGAACGGUAACAGGUCUUCGGAUGCUGACGAGUUGCGAACGGGUGAGUAAUACAUCGGAACGUGCCUAGUAGUGGGGGAUAACUACUCGAAAGAGUGGCUAAUACCGCAUGAGAUCUACGGAUGAAAGCAGGGGAUCGCAAGACCUUGUGCUACUAGAGCGGCCGAUGGCAGAUUGGGUAGUUGGUGGGAUAAAAGCUUACCAAGCCGACGAUCUGUAGCUGGUCUGAGAGGACGAUCAGCCACACUGGGACUGAGACACGGCCCAGAAUCCUACGGGAGGCAGCAGUGGGGAAUUUUGGACAAUGGGCGAAAGCCUGAUCCAGCAAUGCCGCGUGCAGGAUGAAGGCCUUCGGGUUGUAAACUGCUUUUGUACGGAACGAAAAGCCCUGGGUUAAUACCCUGGGGUCAUGACGGUACCGUAAGAAUAAGCACCGGCUAACUUCGUGCCAGCCGCUGCAGUAA
rnacentral:rRNA from 1 species